rnacentral:rRNA from 1 species
GUGCCAGCCGCCGCGGUAAGACGGAGGGGGCAAGCGUUGUCCGGACUCACUGGGCGUAAAGCGCACGUAGGCGGUUGGGUGCGUCGCUGCUGAAAGCGCCAGGCUUAACCUGGCGAGGCGUGGCGAUACGACCUGACUAGAGGCAGGCAGAGGGUGGCGGAAUUCCGGGUGUAGUGGUGAAAUGCGUAGAGAUCCGGAGGAACGCCUGUGGCGCAAGCGGCCACCUGGGCCUGACCUGACGCUGAGGUGCGAAAGCGUGGGGAGCGAACCGGAUUAGAUACCCCUGUAGUCC